GUAGGUCCCGAGCGUUAUCCGGAUUUAUUGGGCGUAAAGGGAGCGUAGACGGCUGUGCAAGUCUGGAGUGAAAGGCGGGGGCCCAACCCCCGGACUGCUCUGGAAACUGUAUGGCUGGAGUGCAGGAGAGGUAAGCGGAAUUCCUAGUGUAGCGGUGAAAUGCGUAGAUAUUAGGAGGAACACCAGUGGCGAAGGCGGCUUACUGGACUGUAACUGACGUUGAGGCUCGAAAGCGUGGGGAGCAAA
rnacentral:rRNA from 1 species